GAGGCGGGUCGGGGGAGGGCAGGGGAACGGAAGGGGUACCCGGGGAGCAUCCUAAGGGAACCUCUUCGCUUAAAAGGGCGGCCGCUGAAGUGGCUCUGAGAACAAAGGAGUUAACACUCGGACUCCACAGGUGGCCCGGGGUGGCCCUGGAGGAGCCCGCCUUUACCUUGCCCUAGCCCACCGGCGCGUCCCGCAGUUCCGAACUAAACGCGCCAGGCCGGGAAGGCUCGGGCUGUCUGAAGAGAGGCGUGACCUCGCCUACACCAGAUCCAAGGCGCACAUACCGAGACACCCCUCAACCUCACUCAGCAGUGCCGUUUCCAACUCCGCGGCAGAGACAGCGCCUGGCGACCCCGGGGCCUGCGUCCCCGCCCGGUCAGCAUCGCAGGUGUUACCCAAACUCUGACGGUCCCUUUAAGAACUCACCCGGAGUCGCGCCCUCCGAAGCUGAGCCGCCCUCGGCCAGCGCUGCAGGCCCCAGCUUAUAAAUCUAUGAAGGUGUCCAGGUCCUGCCAGACUCCGCUGCAUCUUUUGCUUUCACUCCAGCAGGGUAGCAGCAUGCUGCCUGUGCCAAGGCAAUCACUAAAAGGAAAGGAUUUAAUGCUGUCAAAAAAGCUUAUGCCAGCUUAGGCUGCAGGAAGAGGAACAGUGUCAAGUAUGUUGAAAGUGGACAUAUUGGUCAGACCUCCAUGAGAGCCUAGGGGGCAUUGCUUAGCAGCACGCUUUUAAAGGAAUCUGAACAAACCAGCAUGUGGAAAGAAGAGAGUAACCACAGCAAUCAGGAAACAACUGUACAAUCUAGGGCCAUUUCAUUGGAAAAACAGAAGUCUCCAGGGAGCUGCAGUCAUCAAACAGGCUUAUUCUGUGUACCCAGUGGGCAAGUACAGUCAAUGGAUGAAAAUUCAACCAAUGGACAAACACAGGAAGUUUUUCCUUAACAUGAGUUGUCAGAAACUGUCCAAAAUUCCAAAGAGCUGCCUCAAGGUAGUGGAAAUUUUUUUUUUUUUUUAAUCAGGAAGGUGCUGAAUGAAGCCAGCAAGGAUUCUGUGUCAGAGGGUGGUAGAUACCCAGGACAUAAGGUUGAACCACGUGACCUCUGAGACCACAGUUCUAAGCUGUUGAAACCUCAGUCCCUGCUGAAUACUGAAAUGGUAUUAGCACCCUUUAGUCUACAUCAAGAAUUCGUUCUACCCAGUUUUGGUGGUACCAAGACUGAUCUCUUUCUCAUAGAUAAUUCUUAACAGAAUAAAAGCUACAGGUUGAAACCAAUUCCCUUUAAAAUGUGGACAGUUGACCAUCUCCAUGAUAGGUAGUUAGGCACUGAAUUAAUGCUUUUUAAUGGAAGAGCCACCCUAAGAUUCCUGGAGUGUGGUAUAAUGGAGUACUAAAUCAGCAUAGGACUAAUAACUGCCUCCCGUGUAAACUGGUCUAUCCGGAGAGUGGUAUAGCCUCUCAUACAGUGUUCAAAGGCAGAUUUAACUCACUGCAGGUCCACAGCAACCGAUAAGAUAAACUCGUUGGUUAUGGUCUCCCACUUUGCAAAGGAGAGCACAGAGGAAGAGGAAACUGAGAUAACUUGGUUUAGGACCCCACAGCUGGCUGGAGCUGGGCUGAACAUUAGUUCAUUGUUUCUUCGAUUAAUCUAUGCUGCUUUUUCUCUACUUGGCUCCUUUUCUAAAUUAAACAAAACAAAA
ensembl:lncRNA DLG1-AS1 DLG1 antisense RNA 1